rnacentral:rRNA from 1 species
UACGUAGGGGGCAAGCGUUGUCCGGAUUUAUUGGGCGUAAAGAGCGUGUAGGCGGCCAUGUAGGUCCGUUGUGAAAACUCGAGGCUCAACCUCGAGACGCCGAUGGAAACCAUGUGGCUAGAGUCCGGAAGAGGAGAGUGGAAUUCCUGGUGUAGCGGUGAAAUGCGUAGAUAUCGGGAGGAACACCGGUGGCGAAGGCGGCUUGCCUGGACGUGUCCCUGACGCGAGGCUCGAAAGCGUGGGUAGCAACAGG